rnacentral:rRNA from 1 species
AAUAGAUACCCGGGUAGUCCACGCCGUAAACGAUGAGUGCUAGGUGUUGGGGGCUUCCUGUCCUCAGUGCCGAAGGAAACCCAAUAAGCACUCCGCCUGGGGAGUACGGCCGCAAGGCUGAAACUCAAAGGAAUUGACGGGGGCCCGCACAAGCGGUGGAGCAUGUGGUUUAAUUCGAAGCAACGCGAAGAACCUUACCAAGGCUUGACAUCCCGCUGAUCCCUCUAGAGAUAGAGGUUCCCUUCGGGGCAGCGGUGACAGGUGGUGCAUGGUUGUCGUCAGCUCGUGUCGUGAGAUGUUGGGUUCAGUCCCGCAACGAGCGCAACCCUUAUCCUUAGUUGCCAGCAUUCAGUUGGGCUCUCUAAGGAGACAGCCGGUGAAAGCCAGAGGAAGGUGGGGAUGACGUCAAAUCAUCAUGCCCCUUACGUCUUGGGCUACACACGUGCUACAAUGGAUGGUACAAAGGGCAGCGAACCCGCGAGGGGGAGCGAAUCCCAGAAAGCCAUUCUCAGUUCGGAUUGUAGG